CCGGCGUGAAUCCGCUGAUCCGGGCUUUCGGGCCUGCCGGGAGCUCUGUUUAUAAACACACCGCGCGGCUGCCGGCGAGGGGUAACCCUAAGGGGUUGGCAAACGGAUUCUGCAGAGUCAGAUGGAGACCCCCAUCUUGGUCCACUGGAGACAGAGACACUCCUGCUGGUCUGGCAGAAGCAAACAGCAUGUUGUGAACAGCCCCUGGAGAGGACCUCAUGGCAGAGGACUCUGAAUUGCCUCCAGGACCCGAGGGCGGCCUCCAGCAGAUGGCCAGAAAGAAGCUGGGGUCCUCAGUCAUAACGGCCACAGGGAAAUGCAUGCUGCCCACAGGCUGAGUGACCUUGAGAGAGGAUUCUUGCCCAGUUGAGCCUCCCGAUGAGAAUGCAGCCCAACUCAACCUGGAUUACAGCCAUGAGAGGCUCUGAGCAGAGGACCCAGCUGAGCUGUGCCUAGACUCAUCCUAGGGAGACCGUGUAGUGCUAAAUGGAUGUUGGUUUAAGCUGCUAAACUUGUGGUCAUUUGUUACACAGCAAUA